CAUUAAAGAGAGCAAUUUUGGUUACAGACGAGCAUGCGCUCCAUUAGCCAGUUGGCGGGGUAACGGCCCACCAAAGCGACGGUGGAUAGGGGUUCUGAGAGGAAGGUCCCCCACAUUGGAACUGAGACACGGUCCAAACUCCUACGGGAGGCAGCAGUGAGGAAUAUUGGUCAAUGGUCGGCAGACUGAACCAGCCAAGUCGCGUGAGGGAAGACGGCCCUACGGGUUGUAAACCUCUUUUGUCGGAGAGUAAAGUACGCUACGCGUAGCGUAUUGCAAGUAUCCGAAGAAAAAGCAUCGGCUAACUCCGUGCCAGCAGCCGCGGUAAUACGGAGGAUGCGAGCGUUAUCCGGAUUUAUUGGGUUUAAAGGGUGCGUAGGCGGCACGCCAAGUCAGCGGUGAAAUUUCCGGGCUCAACCCGGAGUGUGCCGUUGAAACUGGCGAGCUAGAGUGCACAAGAGGCAGGCGGAAUGCGUGGUGUAGCGGUGAAAUGCAUAGAUAUCACGCAGAACCCCGAUUGCGAAGGCAGCCUGCUAGGGUGCGACAGACGCUGAGGCACGAAAGCGUGGGUAUCGAACAGGAUUAGAUACCCUGGUAGUCCACGCAGUAAACGAUGAAUACUAACUGUUUGCGAUACAAUGUAAGCGGUA
rnacentral:rRNA from 1 species